UACGUAGGGGGCAAGCGUUGUCCGGAAUUAUUGGGCGUAAAGCGCGCGCAGGCGGCCGUUUAAGUCUGGUGUUUAAGCCCGGGGCUCAACCCCGGUUCGCACUGGAAACUGGGCGGCUUGAGUGCAGGAGAGGAAAGCGGAAUUCCACGUGUAGCGGUGAAAUGCGUAGAUAUCAGGAGGAACACCGGUGGCGAAGGCGGCUAUCUGGACAGAGUCUGACGCUGAGGCGCGAAAGCUAGGGGAGCAAACAGG
rnacentral:rRNA from 1 species